GGCCUAUUAGUGUAGUGGUCGAGCACUUCGGAUUUUGAGAUGUAAGCCGUAUUGUGAACAAUACAGUUUCAAGAAUCGUAAAUUCCGGCAACCCCGGUUCGAGUCCGGGAUAGGCCU